AGACGGGGGGAGCAAACGUUGUUCGGAUUCAUUGGGCGUAAAGCGCUCGUAGGCGGCUUGUUAAGUCGGAUGUGAAAGCCCCGGGCUCAACCUGGGAACUGCAUUCGAUACUGGCAGGCUAGAGUAUAGUAGAGGCAAGUGGAAUUCCGGGUGUAGCGGUGAAAUGCGUAGAUAUCCGGAGGAACAUCAGUGGCGAAGGCGACUUGCUGGACUAAUACUGACGCUGAGGAGCGAAAGCGUGGGGAGCAAACAGGAUUAGAAACCCCAGUAGUCC
rnacentral:rRNA from 1 species